rnacentral:rRNA from 1 species
CAGCAGCCGCGGUAACACGUAGGUGGCAAGCGUUGUCCGGAAUUAUUGGGCGUAAAGCGCGCGCAGGCGGAUCAGUCAGUCUGUCUUAAAAGUUCGGGGCUUAACCCCGUGAGGGGAUGGAAACUGCUGAUCUAGAGUAUCGGAGAGGAAAGUGGAAUUCCUAGUGUAGCGGUGAAAUGCGUAGAUAUUAGGAAGAACACCAGUGGCGAAGGCGACUUUCUGGACGGAAACUGACGCUGAGGCGCGAAAGCCAGGGGAGCGAACGGGAUUAGAUACCCGGGUAGUCCCUGUCUCUUAUACC